AUUCUUCUAGUCUGUUUUUUUUAAUUUUUUAUCAUAGCCAUGCAUUAUUUAUCCUAUCCUAUUUAUUGUUGUGAUAUUUCUCCGGUGUAAUCUUCGAUUGCACCCUGAUUUGGUGUUCUGACAUGUUUCUUUUUUUUUGAGUUUCGUAAAGGUUCACAUAUCCCAGGAAAAGGUUAUUGGCUAGGUAUUCCACUUUAUUUGUGGGAUACCCUUGUGGAGUUUCACCCUAAAUUAAUUUUUAAUGUAUUAAUUUCUAAUGUAUUAAUUUUUUAAUAUAUUAUUUUUAAUAAUUUUAAUGUGGAGUUUCAUCCUAAUUAUAUAAUUAAUUGUAAAACUUUGCCUUUGAAUAAGUGAUCUUGGACCUCUCUUUG
rnacentral:lncRNA from 1 species